UAGGGAAUCUUCGGCAAUGGGCGGAAGUCUGACCGAGCAACGCCGCGUGAGUGAAGAAGGUUUUCGGAUCGUAAAGCUCUGUUGUAAGAGAAGAACGAGUGUGAGAGUGGAAAGUUCACACUGUGACGGUAUCUUACCAGAAAGGGACGGCUAACUACGUGCCAGCAGCCGCGGUAAUACGUAGGUCCCGAGCGUUGUCCGGAUUUAUUGGGCGUAAAGCGAGCGCAGGCGGUUAGAUAAGUCUGAAGUUAAAGGCUGUGGCUUAACCAUAGUAGGCUUUGGAAACUGUUUAACUUGAGUGCGAGAGGGGAGAGUGGAAUUCCAUGUGUAGCGGUGAAAUGCGUAGAUAUAUGGAGGAACACCGGUGGCGAAAGCGGCUCUCUGGCUUGUAACUGACGCUGAGGCUCGAAAGCGUGGGGAGCAAACAGGAUUAGAUACCCUGGUAGUCCACGCUGUAAACGAUGAGUGCUAGGUGUUAGACCCUUUCCGGGGUUUAGUGCCGUAGCUAACGCAUUAAGCACUCCGCCUGGGGAGUACGACCGCAAGGUUG
rnacentral:rRNA from 1 species